UACAGAGGUCUCAAGCGUUGUUCGGAUUCAUUGGGCGUAAAGGGUGCGUAGGCGGCAUGGUAAGUUGAAGGUGAAAUCUCGGAGCUCAACUCCGAAACUGCCUUCAAUACUGCUGUGCUUGAGGACUGUAGAGGAGAAUGGAAUUCACGGUGUAGCAGUGAAAUGCGUAGAUAUCGGGAGGACGACCAGUGGCGAAGGCGAUUCUCUGGGCAGUUCCUGACCCUGAGGCACGAAAGCUAGGGGAGCAAACGGG
rnacentral:rRNA from 1 species